ensembl:lncRNA
GUUUAAUGAAGUUAUGCAACUUGAAAAAAUUGUAUAGCUUGUAAGUGAUGGGAAUGAGAGUCCAGUCUUUGUUUUUACACCUUUGUUUCUUUAUUAUCUCAGAACAAAAAUUUUUCAAGUUCUAAGCAAGCUGGGUAUUCCUCAUUUUUAAAAAAUAGGCAAUGUUUUAUUAGCCGUAUACUUUUCAACAAAAAAGUUGGGGACACAGAUUUGGCUAUUUAAAUUAUUAAAAUAAGCAGAUUUCUUUUCCCAUAUUUAAGAGAAAACACAUGACUAGAAAUAUUGAGAUGGAAACUGGGUUAAACCAAUUCCUAAGUCCUUAUCCAGUAAGGAGUCAAUAAAGGAAAAGAUAUUUUGAAACUAAAAAUUAGGGAAGCCUAUACACAAUUUAAAUGGGGGAGAAGAAAAAAACAAAAUAAAGUCAGAUUGUUUACAUUUUACAGGCUUCAAUUAAGCACAUAAAACUUUAGUAUUUAUUUCUCCAUGAACUUUUAUGAAAUUCAGAUCACAGCAUGUCAUUUACGUAUCUUUGUCUUUCUUCUGAUCAUCUACACCUUUUGCACAGUUCUUGAAGACAACAUCAUCAUCCCACCUUCUCUUAACUUUGAAGCUGGGAUGGGCCAGUGGGAUUAAGGACAGGGUUUCCACUCAGAGUGUUUUCUAUAGGACUCCUUUCUUCUUCAGCUUUUGCUCUUGCUCCUUCCUGGCCUGCUCUUCAGUUUUUUCUGUUUUAAUUUUUUCCAGCUCUGCAGGAAGAGCUGCAGUGUCAUCACCGUCACUCUCCUCUUCAAAAUCUUCAUCUUCCUCGUCUGUUAGAGGGUGGUCUACAUCAAGCUUGGCCGUGGGAAUCUGGUCCAGUGGAGCUUCUUUGACACUGAAGAAGAGGCUGUGUGUUCUCUGGCUGGCGGAUCUCUAUUUUUAUUUUGCAGCAGCAGCUCUCUCUGUGUUCCAGCUCUCUCCUGAAAUCACAGAUUCACACGUCUUCAGGGGCAUCCUGAGUGGUUCAAAAGCUGGCUGAGCUGCUGUUGUCAUCCUUUAUGCUUCGGGUUGUCACAGGGAACCUGCAGACUCUUCACCCCUGCCCCACUCGGUGAGGGGUGGCCCUCUGCCGAGUCACCUGCUCACUGUACUCUCCAUGGCCACCGGAGACUGGAGAAACUCGUCUGCAGCUCUGGGGCCGCCUCUGCCCACAUUGGGUUCUCUGCCUCAACUUCCAAAGGCCCUUUCCGGGCCCCACCCGUAGUCUGGUUUUCUCCUGCAGCUCACUUUGCCCAAGCUCGGAUACAGCCUGUGGCCGGAGAUCAUACAGACAGAUCAUGCAGACGUCAUUAUGACUUUCAGCUCCCAGAAACCUCUGCGCCUAGGGCCAAAGGCCAAGACCUGGAAGGUAUGCCUCAUUAUUUAGUUGGAGAAGGAAAUGGCUACCCACUCCGGUAUUCUUGCCUGGAGAAUCCCAUGACAGAGGAGCCUGGCGGGCUACAGUUCACAGGGUUGCAAGAGUCGGACACGACUUAGCAACUGAACCACCAACAACCACUGUUUUCUUUGGUUAAUGACCCAAUGAUCUUUACACCAGGUCCACCUCAUUCUAGUUAACAGCUGCAAAGUAUCUAGAUGAACCAGAGAUGAUUUUAUUGUCCCCCUAUCGGUGGAGAUUUAGGUUAUUUCCCAAUGUUUCACUUGUAUAAAAAAUUCUGCAAUAAAUAUCUAUAUCUAUGUAGAUAGAUAUAGACU